CAACCACCUCCCACAAUUUCA
rnacentral:miRNA from 1 species